rnacentral:lncRNA from 1 species
GAAAAAAAUUGAAAAUUUUAGACUUGCGCGCUCUCCUACCAGAAACCGAUUAAAUUCCUAACCAAGCAGAAAAAACCGCGGCUCAUGCAAGAACUGAGACUCAGCGGUGAGAGCGCAUCGUUGACACAUGAAAAUUAAUAUUCUUCUUCACUAUGACACUCCCCUAGAACUAGACCACCUGUAUGUAGGGUACUAAUAAAAGUCCAUUUGAUAAAGUUCGAGAAGUUUAAAUCUUUCUUAAUGGUCUCAUAUUUUCUUUUUCAUGCCAACCUAGCCGCCUCAAAUGACUUUUAUCACCUUCUUGAGAUUUAUCAAGAUAAGAUGUUGAUUUACAUCAAUGCGUCUGGCAUCAGUCUCUAUUGCUAAUACGUUUUUAUCAGUACUCAUUUCUUGGCAAUAAACACACGUGUGAUUUGUUUUCCCCCAUGCGUUCAGUUUCGGCAAGAUAAAAAAGGCUAUAGUACCAAAACUGCAGUAUAAAGGAGGAACACAUCUGUAUCCUUCAUAGUCAAAGCUAAACAGGAAACAUAUAACCUGAAUAUCGAAGUAGUGCUUUUAAUCGUACCAGUAGAAAAAACAUAUUUUCUCCAGGGGUUGGAGAGCAAUAAUAUGUGACAAACAAUGCAAUUUCUAAUUAGGAGGCGUUAUUUAAUUUGAUUAGUAUCCAGUUGACAGAUUUUCAUGUAUGUACAUCUACAAUGGUUUUCAAACAUUUGACCUUUUACCUGUUAGGCCAUGUUUGUACAUUUGGAAUUCAGCAAUCGGAACAACGUAUCAUGCUCAAGAGCGAGGCUUAUGAAGAGGUCGUCAAAUCGACAGCUUACAUCGAUAAAACCUGGUUUAUUCGAGAUUUAUUUAACCUGCCGCAAUAUCUUGUGAUCACAGCCCCUCAGGGUUUCUCCAAAACGACGAACCUGAACAUGCUGAAAUCAUUCUUUGAACACGAGCUGGAUGGAACCCAUACUGAAAAGGACCCAAAAACCUCAACAAAACUACAGACAUUCAAAGAUAAAAAAAUAUUCACCGAUGAGAAAUUUUUUUGGCAGCACUUCGCUAAAUACCCUGUCAUCCAUUUAGACCAAAGCGCUGUAACGACGAAAAACUUCGACGAGUUUUGAAAAGCUUCGUUAAGCAUUGCAUUGACCCUCUAACGGAGAAAUUCGGUUACUUAUGGAACAAUACCGACAACAAGAUGAAUGCAAAAGCCAAAAAAGGUUAUCCAUGGACUACAGACGACCUCCAAGACUUCGGUGCAGAACUUGCAAGUCUUCUACACCAUCAUCACGGAACCAAACCUAUACUUGUGAUUGAUGAAUACGAUUCUCCUUCGGUCUCCGCCCUUCUGGACGCGGGUGUCUCUGAAAAAGACACCGAGGCUAUAGUACAAUUCUUAAGUAAUUUCUGAAAUAAUACAACAUAAUCACAACACUUUUCGUGCCGUUUUGACCGGGCGUUUGGCCCUGUCACUGAUCCCAAAACUGAAAUAUCAAACAAUUUUUGAGUCCGAAAAAUUGUCCUCUGCCUACGGCUUUCUAGAUGCCGACCUCAAUGAGCUUGAAAAGCGAUUUGCAAUGGCGUCUCCUGAUAUGGAUCAUACCAGAGCUUACUACAGAGGAUAUUGCGUGUAUGAUAAACCGGAAGAACGGAUAUACAAUACUCAAUCAAUCAUUCAUUCACUGCUCAGUAGAACAGUUAUUGAAUAUUGGUCCGGGGAUCUCAUCGAUAAACUAAGGCCUCUCCUAGGGGCUGAACAAUGGGGACCAGCACUGGAAAUGUGCAUC